rnacentral:misc_RNA from 1 species
GAUGAAGAACGCAGCGAAAUGCGAUACGUAGUGUGAAUUGCAGAAUUCAGUGAAUCAUCGAAUCUUUGAACGCACAUUGCACCUCUCGGAAUUCCGGGAGGUAUGCCUGUUCGAGCGUCAUUUGUACCCUCAAGCUCUGCUUGGUGUUGGGUGUUUGUUCCGCCUCUGUGUGUGAACUCGCCUCAAAACAAUUGGCAGCCGGCGUACUUGUUUCGGAGCGCAGCACAUUUUGCGAUCCAGAUCAACGUACAGCGGCAUCCAAGAAGCCUUAUUUAACGCUCUUGACCUCGGAUCAGGUAGGGAUACCCGCUGAACUUAAGCAUAUCAAUAAGCGGAGGA